CCGUUCGGGGAUGGGGACAGUAUCCCCAACCCCGAUUAAUCCCCGAUCCCAAAUUUUUACACACACAUAUAUAUAUUUAGAAAUUUUAUGAACUUAUUAAUUUGUUUAUAUGUAAUAUGUUUAUAAAAUGGCCUAAAAUGAAAAAGUAAAAAGCCCAAAAAGCCUAAGAUUGAAAAAAAAAAAGGCCCAAAAUCUUUUCCUCUCCUCCUUCCUUUCUGUCAAAAAUACUAAAUCCCUAAAACGAUAGCAAGCCUACUGCCGAAUCCAGCUCCCUCCACAUCCACUACUCCAGGUGAUUCGUUGGAGUCAUGACUCGUGAAGAGUCUUCAGCCAUUGAAUACAGUGAAGAUAGCGUCAGCCAUUAAAAUCUGAAGACAGUCGGAGUCUCCAGCCUCCGCGUCCGGUGUCCGCCUAGUCCGCGUCGAUAGUCGGAGUCUCCAGGUGAAGACAAUUGAUUCGUGAAGCUCAGUCGACAGUCCGGCGUCCGCCUAGUCUGCGUUGAAGUCGUGAUUCGUGAAGCUCCGCCCAGUCUGCCACUUUCAGGUGAAGACACUUCCGAUGUCUGCCCAUCGGAGUCGACAAUCGACAAUCGACAAUCGAAGUCUCCAGUCCGUCGUCCGCCCAUUCCGCAUUGAAGUCGUGAUUUGUGAAGCUCCGCGUCCGUCCGCCACUUUCAGAUUUUGUGCUAUUUCGAGAGGCGAGUUCUAUCCAUUUAACUUUCAAGACUUCAAAGUUUAAGUUGGUGCUGGUAAAAAUUUUCUUUCGUUCUCCGUUUGGCCGUCUGAUAUUUUUGAAAAGUAUACUUGAAAUUAGUAAAUAAUAUGUUUGAAAAAUAUGUUUGUGUAUUUUUUAUAUUUGAAUGUUUUGAAUUUUAGGCUUGAAUAUAUUUGGAAAAUAUGUUUGUGUAUGUUUGAAAAUUGAAUGUUUUCAAUUUUGGGGUUGAAUGCUUUGAAAAUGAAGUCCAAGUCUAAAGAGAGGUUUUUAAAUUAAAUUUUUGGUAGGUUGAAAACAAUGUCUUCGUCACCUUCUACAAAUAAUGAUUCUUCAAAUCCAAUUCCAAGUCCAAUCCCAGAUCCAACCCCAAAUUUAACCCCAAAUUUAACUCCAUGUUCAUCGAAUGAUGAUAAUUUGAAUGUUGAUAAUUGUGUUAUUCUUGAUGAGGAUAUUGAGAAUGGAUAUUUAAAGAGGAGAUUGACAUCGAUUGUUUGGAACCCUUUUAAGAAAUAAAAAAUAGAUGGAGUAGACAAGGCGGUUUGUAAUUAUUGCAAACGAAAAUUAAGGGUGAAAGUAAAAAUGGAACCAAACAUUUGCAUGAUCAUAUUAAGAUAUGCCCAUAUAAAGGACAAAAAGACAUACGACAAUCCCUAUUGAAUCCUAAUAUAGAGAAGAACAAUACAUUGAGUUUAUAUAACUUCGACCAGGAAGCUGCAAAAAAAGCAUUAGCUAGGAUGAUAAUAAGACAUGAAUAUCCUCUCUCAAUAGUUGAACAUGAAGGUUUUAUGGAAUUUUGUAAUGUCAUUCAACCAUUAUUUAAGAUGAUGUCAAGAAAUACAAUAAAGAAGGAGAUUUUGAAAAUUUAUGAGACUGGAAAGUUGAAAACCAUGACAUUGUUGAAUGAGAUCAAAGGAAAGAUUGCCCUUACAACGGACAUGUGGAUUUCCAACCACCAAACAAAAGGUUAUAUGGUUGUCACUGCUCAUUUUGUUUAUGAUAGUUGGGUUUUGCAAAACAAAAUAAUCAGGUUUAUAUAUGUCUCUUCUCCACACACUUCUGAGAUGCUUCAUGAAGAAAUAAUGGAAUGACUGUUAGAUUGGAAUAUUGAUCGAAAAUUGUCAUCAGUAACGGUAGAUAAUUGUAGUACCAAUGACUCUAUGGUGAAUAUGCUUGUUAAUAGUUUGUGUGGAAACUUAAUAUUGGAUGGGAGUUUAUUUCAUAUGUGGUGUUGUGCUCAUAUUCUAAACUUGAUUGUGAAAGAUGGGUUGGCAGUGAUAGGAGAUGGGAUCGAAAGAGUAUGUAGUAGUGUGUCUUUUUGGGUGCAUACACAAAAAAAGAAGGAGAAAUUUGAGGAAACUACUCGACAGUUGAAUGUUUAUGAUGGUCAGAUGUUGAGUCUUGAUUGUUGUACUAGGUGGAAUUCUACCUAUUUUAUGUUAGUCACGUACAAAGCUGUUUUUUAUCGAUUAAAACAACAAGAACCAAAGUACAAGUGUUUGCCUUUGGAUCAAGAUUGGAUAUUAGUAAAAGAGAUAUGUGAGAAACUGAAAAUAUUUCAUCACCUGACUGAAAUAUUUUUUGGAUCCAAAUAUCCUAUUGUUAAUCUUUUUUUUCCAAAAAUUUGUAAAUUGAAAUUGGCUAUUUCUGGGUGGACUAAUUCUGCAUUCAAGAGAUCAGAGACAUGACUUCAAAUAUGAUGUCAAAGUUUGAUAAGUAUUGGAAGACAAUUCAUGGGGUAAUGGCCAUGCCUGCAGUUUUAGAUCCACGUUACAAAUUAAAGUUGAUUGAGUUUUACUUCCCUAGAAUUUAUGGAGAUAGUUUUUUUUAAGUGGAAAUGAUUAAAAAAAUUUGUUCAGAUUUGGAAAUAGAAUAUCAGCUGAAGCAUGAAGGUGAAAGUGAUGAUUAUCACAUUAGAAAUUUAGAUGGAACCUCACAAAAUAUCGAAUUUGAUGAUUUUAAUGAUUAUGACUUGUUUAUAUCAAAUUCCAAUAAUAUGAAUCAGAAGCAACAGUUUGAUGCAUAUUUGGAUGAACCUGUCUUACCUCGAACAUCCGAUUUUGACAUUUUGAGUUGGUGGAAAUUAAAUGGUGUCAAGUAACCAAUUUUACAAGAAAUUGCAGGAGACAUAUUAGCCAUCCCGUUAUCUAGUGUUGCAUCAGAGUCCGCUUUUAGUACCCGUGGUAGGAUUGUAAGCCCAUAUUGUAACAAACUUCAUCAAUAGAGACUUUGAUGUGCGCGCAAAAUUGGAUUGUAACUGAAGUUUUGAUAGGUACUAGCACGGGAAAAUAAAUGGUUAAGAUGUAAACGAUUCUGAUGAAGAUGGUGUGGUGACUAAGGUAUGCUCAAGGAUUAACAUUAUUUCGUGGUCUGCUUUUUUUUUUUUUUUUUUGUGACAUUAUUUGUUUAUUAAA